AAUCUCGCGGGAAGCACCCGUCGACUUUUUCUUUUUUUAAAACACGUGAAAACAUGACAGCCGAAGACGCCUCCGAUAUUUGCACAUUUCUAGUGCUUUUAUUUCCGUCUCUUUGUUUUGUAAGUUGACAGCAGUGUGAGGAACAUGUCACUGCUGACUUCCAUUGAGAACGCUAUCAAGUCCUGCAAAGAAGAGCAAGCCAGGUUGGAGUGCCGCAUCCAGUACUACAGAGAAGUUGUGUUGCACAGCCACACAACUCCGCAUGAAUCUGAACUGACUGAGGCUGCUGCUACCACUGCUACAGACACAGCCACAUGCUCGGGGGAAGCAGAAGACCUAAAACUGAUCGAGCAAACUUUGGAAAAAGCUUUUCAGCUCCGCACUCGCUACAGUCUUUUUAGUGGAGACUCUGAAGGAACGAAACCCUCUCAGCCGAGAAAGAAACCCCCUGACACGAGUGUCCAAUCUAAAGGGGCAACUUCAAAAGCCUCUGCUGCUUCUAAAGGAAACCAAUCAGCAACCGCUCUUGAGUGCGGCACUCUUGACCGGAGAGGGCAAAGAAAGCCUGGAACAUCGUCUUCACGUGGUGGACGAUCCUCGGCUGUCUGCUAUCCCACAAGUAAAAAUGGGAUUCCCAACCGUCCUGCUCCAUCAGCCGUGAAGCAUGUCCCGCGUGUUACUACCUCAGUGAAAAAAGUGGCGACAAGUGGUGUGCAGAGUGAUGAUGACUUGGCCAAGGCUUCAACUGUAACGUGUUCUUCGACAAAGGUGAAGGACACAGAAGAUCACCAUCGGCCCCCAUCACAGCCAAGGAGAACACAGUGUGAGCAGACGGCACAAUGGAAAUCUCUGUGGAUGAACCAAAACAGAUUGUGGGACAAAGUAACGGCUGCUCAAAGGAAACCUGUGCCCGGGAGGAGUCGCUUCAUGGAGAGAAUGAGAGCAACGUUCCCUAAGGACUGGCCACAUGGAAGCCCGGACCAGAUCAGGGGUCUGGUUGGCAGACUGAAGUACCAGACUGAUGAACUGGUCCAGCAGUGCCAUACAAGGGACCUUUUGGACCAAAGUACCGAAACGGGGGUGAAAGACAAAAAGCAUUCCUGUCUCCCACUUGAGAGCUUGCAAAGAACAGCAGUGAACCUCCUGAGGACUGCAGAGCAGGCGAAACAAGAGUGGGAAGCAUGGGAUCGAUGCAGGCCAGAGGGAGGUUGCCUUUGUGCCGUUGGGGCCGUGGAGGAUGAGGCGACUGCAGGUCGUCUGCCCGUAACAAUCAAUUACACCUCCCAGGCCGAACUAAGAGAGCUGGAGACGCUCAGGAUGAGAGUGGCUCUGCUGCAACAGGAGAUAUCCUUCCAGCAAGCUCUGCAAGACGCUCUGGCCCCUCAGUUGGCCUCCAUUAUUUCUUCAUGUCCUAAUCGCAGUGUGCUGAGAGAUUUGUACUCCUUACUGGGUGAAGGAGGUCAGCGUUUCCCCGCUAUAGUCCAAGACAAUGAGCCUGAGUGACUCGUGAGAUGACUGAAAGGGCUAACGAUGCAGUACAUCUCCAAUACACUUUGCGUUUGAUUCAUGAAGUCCAGUCCAGCACCAGUGCGGGGGUCGGCAACCUACAACGAUGAAAGAAACCAUAUUGGACCGAAAACACAAAAAACAAAUCAGUCUGGAGGCCCAAAAAAAAGAAGUUUUAUAAUGAAGGCAACACAUGAUGUAAGUGUCUAUGUAAGUUGUAUUAGCCUACUAUAUAAAUUAAUUUAAACAAGCCUUAUAUAAGUGUUAUAAUGAAGACAACACAUGACGUAAGUGUCUAUAUUUGCUAUAUUAGCUUAUCAAAAUUACUUUAAAAGUCUGAUAGAAGUGUUAUAAUGAAGGCAGCACGUGACGUAAGUGUCUAAAUAGCCUACUAUCAAAAUUACUUUAAAGUUCUUAUAUAAGUGUUGUAAUGAAGGCAACACAUGAUGUGUCUGUAUUAGUUAUAUUAACCUACUAUCAAAAUUACUUUAAAAGACUUACAUAAGUUAUAAUGAAGACAACACAUGAUGUAAGUGUCCAUAUUAAUUAUAUUACCCUACUAUCAAAAAGACUUGUAUAAGUGUUAUAAUGAAGACAACAUGAUGUAAGUGUCUAUAUUUGUUAUAUUAGUCUACUAUUAAAAUUACUUUAAAAGUCUUAUAUAAGUGUUAUAAUGAAGACAACACAUGAUGUGUCUAUUAGUUAUAUUAGCCUACUAUCAAAACAACUUUAAAAGUCUUAUUUAAGUGUUAUAAUAAAGACAACACAUGAUGUACUGUAAGUGUCUAUAUUAGCUAUAAUAGCCCACUAUUAGAAUGACUUUGAGUCCCAGGCUGAAGGAAAUCUUUGUUGACAGAAAUGUUGAAAUGUAAUAUUUAUUCUACACAUUUUUACAACUUUAGAAACCAUUAGUAAA